rnacentral:lncRNA from 1 species
UAAUCUCAAGUUUUCUUUCGUUCUUUCUUUUUUUUUUCUUUUUUGUUUGGUUUAGAUCGUCUUUUAGUAGGUAAAUCGACUCCAAUGAGAUCCCGAAUACUUUAAGAUACAAAAGUAGGGGAGAGGGGUCAAGUGGUGUUGAAUCUCUAUUUUAUGAACUUUCUUCGUUUUUUUUAAAAAUGUAUGAGAUUUGAAGUUUUAUUUUUUCUCAAGUAAAAAAGAAAAUACUUACUAAUUUCCUCAAGGCAUGGUCGAAUACUUACGGCCAUAGAACCAGGAAUUGUUUUGCGCGCUGCUGGACACCAAAUCCGAUGGAGAUUCAGCUGCUUGUAAAAGGAACCCUAGCAAAUUUAUUUUCAAGGCUGCUGGUUUUUGUUAAAAUGGAUGGGUAUUUGAAAGGAAAGGAAGGGAAAAUGGUUUAAAAUGGUCUGAAAUACAAAACAGUGCUGCCCAUGACCAUAAGGGUCCGCGCGUGGGCCCGAAUAGAAAAAUGGAUCUGCGCCAUGUUGUGUGAAUGGGGAAAUUGCGCGCUGAAUCCUUCCCUUGCGCACAACCUUCAAUUCGCGCCCCAAUUUCCCCCCCAACCAAUAAACGACGCCGUUUCAAGGGUGGGUCGGGUCGACCCGACCCGCCCCAGCAAGGAUCCGCGUGUUUUUAAGAGCGGAAGGGCUAUUUGCGCAAUCAGCGCUUCCGCAUUUUUGGUGUUUUAAAUUAGGUUUAUGUUUGUUUCUGAAUUGACCCCAGAAUUUUGCUCAGUUUUUAAUUUAACCCCCGUAUAUGCGCAGCGUUUUGGAAAGUUUGAAAAUUUGCACUUUUAAUACCCCAUGGUUUUACCCGCAUUAAAAUAGGUCCUUUCCCUUUUAAUUUUUUUAAAUUCGCCCCAAAGCUUUGUUUUUAGUUCAUUUUUGGUCCUUUUUGUUUCCUUAUUUAAUAUGAUUAUUGUUAUUUCCAAUAUUAUAGUAUUAUUAUUACUAUAUAUUAGUAUACAUUUUUCUUUUACAUGUGAAUAUUGUAUAUAUUUAUAUAUAAUAUUAUUUUUAAUUAUUGUAUUUUAAUAUUAUUAUUAUAUUAUAUAUACUUCUUCGUAUUUUAUUAUUAUUAUUAGUAUUAUUAUCUUUAUUCAUAUUAGCAUACAUAUGUUAUUAUAUAUAUACACAUUUCAUAUAGUAUUAUCUUUUCUUUACUUUUAUAUUUAUUAUUAUAUUCAUUGUUAAUACAUCUAUUUUUUAUACAUGUAUAUAUACCCUUUUUGUAAUAUUAUUUUUUACACCUAUAUGUAUAUAUUUUAUUUUAUUGUUGCUAGUUAUGUACUUUUUUACUAUCUUAUACGUACUUCAAACACUAUACGUAUAGUAUAUUUCUAACACUACUACUAUUUAUAUAAAUAUUUUACGUAUAUACUCUUAAUUAUCUUCAUAUGUGUUUUCAUUGUAUUCUUAUUACGUUCUCGUAUUCAAUGCUAACAUUGCAUUUGAUCUUGCAUGCACGGUUAUUAUUUUCUAAUAUUAUUGUCACCUCGAUUAUUUGUUUCAACAUAUUCCUAGCUCUUUCAUUUAUUGAUUUUUAUUUCAUAUUAUUUUACUUUGCAUUAUUUCGAAAAUCGUAUUCUUGUUUUGCUAAUUAAUUUCAAUAAUCAAGGCAAUAUAUCGAUUUAACAUUAAGUCAUCAAGUUCAUCGCUAUGUUGGGUGAACGUCAAUUGACUCGUGUUAAAGCGAUAUACCCUUCUAAAAGAAAAAACGGAAUAAACUAAGUUUCUUGUUUUUUAAUGGGAUCACGACUAAAUUUUACAUUGAACCAUAUUUUUGAAAAUUAAGACAACAUGUGUUUAUGAGAUACCAAUUUUUGGGCGUCGCGAGGGUGCUAAUACCUUCCUUGCGCGUAACCGACUCCCGAACCCUAAUUUUCCUCUGGCUUUUAACGUAGACCUAAAUUCAGCCUUCCUUUUGUUUUUUUUUAAAAAAGAAGUCUAACAGGUGUCCGGUCACACCUAAUAAAAAGGAUUGGUGGCGACUCCCUCUUUAUUUUGAAAUCGAAUUUCAGUUUCCAAACUUUUUCACUAGAUCGCCACAAUUAGCGACCCCGGAACCAAUUUUUAUGUCGCUACACUAAUUACAAUAAAGAAACAACUAACAUCUUUUAGACUUUACCAUUAGAUUUUAUAGUUCAUUAUAAAUUUGUAUUCUUAUACAUAUACUACGAACCCCAAUAUAUGUCUCCUGUGAAGCCUAAAAUGUGUCCUCUAGUGGAGUUGACCCUUCGGCAAACCAUGUGCAUCUACGUCACUAGAUGCGAUCCUAAAUUAGGUGAACAUCAUGUAACACGCACCUUCGCCAAACAUAUGCGAGGUGCAUCUAGGGAAGUCUAAGAUCAUUGAUUACCCAAUUGUUCUAAAACGUUAUAUUCUAGGACAUCACACCACUGUCACUACCAAGAAGCAACAUCAGAUCCCAUUGUCAAUAGUCCCUAAACAUGUUGCAUGUAAGACCCCUUAACCCUAAACCGUCGCCAGAACAGGGUUACGAGACAUUACCGAACUUAUCGGACAAUUUACAACUAAUUCUUAAAUAAAUAACAAACAUAUUAUAAUAUAAUCAUAAAUUCAUAUAAAACUUUUGCUAAUUGACUUCAUUUAAAAAAAAACUCAAUAUAACAUCUUUAUAAAUAUUUAACUUUCUCUACAAUUUCAAAUCGCAACCAAUCCAAACAAAUCACUUCAUGAAUUUAUACAUCUCUAAUUAUAACAAACUAAUAAUAUAAAGUUCUAACAUUUUUAUGUUUAUAACAAUCUAACAUAAGAUGUCUAAUUGAUUCAUUUAAAUUAUCAUUCAAAAAAAUUGCCCAAAGCUAUGAUAUAGGCUAUGUUUAAGACAUAUGUAAUUGUAUGGAACAACCAUUACCAUCAUUUAUCAUUAAUAUUUUAUGUAUCAAAAUAACAACAAAUUACAACCUAGGUACAUGCCAUUUUCAAAAGAGAAAAUACAUCACCACGUAUUUGAGUUCAGAAUUGACUUGGAUGUUGAUUUGUACCUAACCUGUGCACGAAAAUAAACUAUACGCUGAGUAUGCACUUAAUGGUAUUUCUAUAAACCAAUACUUAAAUCAAUUAUUAGCUCAUAUCCAUUUUGACUAUAAAACCUUAUUUACAUAACAAUAGUUAAUUUCUUAACUCGAUAAAGUAUAUGAUUCUAAUCAUAUUUAAUCAAUAACAAUCAGUUAUUCAAUACAGUAAUUUAGUUAUUCAGUAACUAUCAAAUAUUCAUUGCAGUAGUUUAGUUAUUCAAUAACUAUCAAUUAUUCAAUACAGUAAUUUAGUUAUUCAGUAACUAUCAAUUAUUUAGUACAGUAGUUUACCCCUAUUAACAUAACUUGGACCUAGACGGAUACACGGAUCCAAACAACACACUCGUACGGCACUUAGUGCCUUAUCGGCUUUGUCGAAGUAAACAGUAACAGUAUGGUACAUAGUACCUCAUCGGAUUAAACCCAAGUAACAGUAACAGUAACAGUACGGCACACAAGGUGCCUCAUCGACUCGAAGUCGAAGUAAUAGUACGACACUUAUAGUGUCUCAUCGACUCAAGAUCGAAGUAUCUCUGAACACUAAACACAAAUUCACAUACAUUCAAUUUAAUAUCAAAACACUAAUACUUACCUUAAUAUCUUUCCAUACAUAUAUAAUAAUAAUAACAACAAUUUAAAUGUUAAGUUCGAUUUGUAGAAAUACAAACCGUAAUUCUCGAAUUACUCUUAGUCAACCUUCUCAUUUCCUUUCUUUGUCGAGGUCUCCGGUAUUAUGUUAGCUACGGAAAUUAAAAUAAUUAUACCAUUAAUUACAGCACUCAUUAUAACAAAUGAUUGAAUUUCUAUUCAAUUUAUACCUUAUUUUCAAUUAGGUUCUAACUAACUCAUUCACUUUACUAACUUAAUUCAUACUUCAUUCUUAUUCAAAUUCCUAUCAAAUUCAACUUGACUAUCAAGUGUUUAUAAUAAAACCCUAAUUUAAAACUUCUUUUAAUUGGAUCCCUCAAUCACCAAAACUUAUAGCCUAGUUUACAAUUUAAUCCUUUAAUCAAUUCUAACUUAAAAUUCAUUCAAUUAAACCCCUAAUUCAUUAUUUUGUUCAACAUGAACUAUAUUCAAAAACCUAAAAACUUCUAAAACCCCAACUUAAUUUCAACAAAACUUUGUUCUAAAGCUUUUAAAACAUCAAAUUUAAAUAAAAAUGACUUAAUUGACUUGCCAAUUAAAGCUUAAAGCUCCCAAACCCUAGUUUUUCCCUUUUUCUUUCUUUUUUUCUUUUUCCCUGGUACUUUCGAAUAGCCUAUUCUGUUUUGGUUUCCUUCUUUGUUUUAUUUUCUUUUAUUUUAUGCUUUAUUUGUUUGAUAAUAAUAUAAUAUCUUAAUAAAUAUCUAUUUAAUAAUCAAUAUAUUUGUUACAAGUGUAAUAUUACUUAUAUUUACACAUGUACUAAAUCAUCAUCAUACAUUUGUCAUGUUUUAAUUUAUUUAUCACAUAAAAAUCUUAUAAUAUAAUUAUUUAACUAAUAAAUAUCUUUUACUAAUAAUAAAUAAUAAAUAAUAAAUAUCUAUUUACUUAAAUAAUAAGUAAUUUAAAUCCAUGAAUUACAUUUUUCAUUUUGGUCCUUUAUAUUUUUUUAAUCUAUAAUUCAAUUUUUACUCCUUAUUCAAUCUAGUCAUUCUUCCUAUUUUCUCUUAAUUAAGCUAAAUUCGCCUAAUUAAAACUUAAUUAAACACACUACUGACUCAGAAAUAUUCCUAAUAAUUAUUUUCAAACUCGGUUUACUAAGACGGAGGCUCGAUAAUAUACUUUUCUGAUGCCCGUGAACUUUAGGUCAUUACAUUUAUUCCCCCUUAAUAAAUUUCGUCCUCGAAAUUUACCUAAGAAAAGAUGAGGAUACUGUGCUCUCAUUAUCUCUUUUAGUUCCCCAGUCACUUCUUCUACAUUAUGACUCCACCAUAAAACUUUCACUAAAGGAACUUGUUUAUUACGCAAUUCCUUUACCUCACAAGCCAAUAUCUUAAUCGGUUCUUCUUCAUAUGACAGAUCGGGUCGAAUUUCAAUAUCCUCUGUAGAAAUAAUAUGUGAAGGAUCUGAUCGAUAUCUUUUAAGCAUAGAAAUAUGAAAAAGAUCAUGAUUCUUUUGUAAUUCUGGAGGCAAAGCCAUACGAUAUGCAACUGGUUCAACUCUCUCAAUAAUCUCAUAUGGCCCAAUAAAACGAGGACUUAGUUUUCCUUUUCGACCGGACCUCAUAAUUUUCUUCCAAGGUGAAACUUUUGAAAAUACCUUAUCACCAACCAUAUACUCAAUAUCUCUACGUUUCAAAUUUGUUUAUGAUUUCUGCCUGUCAAAAGCUGUCUUCAAUCUUUCUCGAAUCUUCUUAACAGUAUCUUCUGUUUCUUGAGUCAAUUUUGGUUCAAUCACUUUUCUCUCAUUUAAUUCUAUUUAACACACUAGUUACUGAUACCUUCGACCAUAUAAAGCUUCAUAUGGUGCCAUUUGAAUACUUGAUUGAAAACUAUUAUUGUAUACAAAUUCAGCUAAUGGUAGAUAACAUUUCCAACCUGAUUCAAAAUCAAUAAUACAAGCUCAAAGCAUAUCUUCUAAAAUCUGGAUAACUCGUUCUGAUUGUCCAUCGGUCUGUGGAUGGAAAACUGUGCUAAAAUUAAGUCAAGUACCAAGAGAUUCAUGUAGUUGCCUCCAAAAUAUGGAUGUAAACCGUGGAUCUCGAUCAGAAAUUAUUGACACCAGAAUACCAUGUAAUCGUACUAUCUUUCGAAUAUAAACUUCAACAAGUUUCUAAAGUGACCAAUUCGUUCUGACUGCUAUAAAAUGAGCUGACUUUGUAAGCCAAUCAACAAUCACCCAAAUAGCAUUUUUCUUACUUGGUGACAAUGGCAACCCUGUUACAAAAUCCAUUGUGAUGCAGUCCCAUUUUCGUUCAGGAAUGUUAAUAGGCUGAAGUAAACUAGUUGGAACUUGAUGCUCUACUUUGACUCGCUAACAUGUCAAACAUUUAGCCACAAAUUCCACAAUAUCUCUCUUCAUACUUGGCCACCAAUAUAAUUCUCGUAAAUCACGGUACAUUUUCGUUCCUCGGGGAUGUAAUGAAAAAGGACUAUCAUGUGCUUCUCGAAGUAUCAACUCUUUCAAUUCUGAAAUAUUUAGAACACAGAUCCGAUUAUGAAAUCUUAGACAAUCAUGCUCAUCAAUACUAAAAUUCUCUGCUAUGCCACUCUGAACCAUUUCUUUUCUCUUCAUUAGCUUAUCAUCUUCUAAUUGAGCUGACUUGAUUCGUUCAAACAUCAUUGGUUUAAUUUUUAAUUCACCCAAUAAACCUCCAUCAUCACUAAUUCUGAUUGUCCAUUUAAAGAAGCAUCACUAUACACAAUAAAAUCUUUCCCUGAUUCUGGUAAAGUCAAAAUUGGUGCCUUUGUCAACAUCUGCUUCAAUUUCAUAAAACUUUCUUGAGAUUGAUCAUUCCAAACAAACGGAACAUUAUUUUGCAAUAGCUUUGUCAUUGGUAAAGCUAUUUUUGAAAAUUCAUUCACGAACCUUCGAUAAUACCCAGCCAAUCCAAGAAAACUACGUACCUCUGACACAUUUUUGGGAGUUUUCCACUGGACGAUUGCUUCAAUCUUCUUUUGAUCCACUCUAAUUCCAUCUGCUGACACCACGUGACCAAGAAAUACCGCCUCUGAUAACCAAAAUUCACACUUACUCAAUUUCCCAUACAACUGUUUCUCUCGUAACAUUUGUAAAACAAUUUGAAGAUGUUGCUCAUGUUCAGAUUCUGUUGCUCAUGUUCAGAUUCAGACUUUGAAUAUACCAAAAUGUCAUCAAUAAAGAUUACCACGAACUGAUCCACGUAUGGCUAAAAAAUUCGGUUCAUAAGAUCCAUAAAAGUAGCUGGGGGAUUUGUUAACCCAAAUGGCAUCACUAAGAACUCAUAAUGACCAUAUCUUGUAUGAAAUACUGUCUUCAGUACAUCACUUUCUUUCACCUUUAACUGAUAGUAGCCCGAUCUUAAAUCAAUCUUUGAAAAUACUGAAGCUCCUUUCAAUUGAUCAAAUAAAUCAUCAAUACGUGGUAAUGAAUAUUUAUUCUUGAUUGUCACAUUGUUCAAUUACCGAUAAUUAAUACACAACCGCAUCAAACCAUCUUUCUUUUUAACAAAUAACACUAGAGCUCCCUAAUGUGAUGUACUAGGUCGUAUAAAACCUCGAUCCAACAAAUCUUGCAAUUGUAUUUACAAUUCCUUCAACUCCAUAAGUGACAUAUGAUAUGGAGGUAUUGACACUGAAUCUGUACCCGGGUAUACUUCGAUCACAAAUUCAACUUCCCGAUCAGGAAGUAAUCCAGGUAACUCUUCAGAGAAUACAUCAGGAAAUUCACAUACAGUCCUGAUUUUACUAUAUUUACUCUCCACCCAAUCCGAAUUAAUUACAUAUGCUAAGAAAGUAGCACAACCUUGACAAAGAAGCUUACUAGCUUUAAUUGCUGAGGUAAUACGAACUGAUCCACUGGUCUGAAUACCAUUUAAUUCAAUCUGAUCACCAAUUUCAUUCUGAACAGUGAACUUCUUUUUAUAGCAGUCCAAAAUUACCCCAUGUUCUGAUAGCCAGUCCAUGCCCAAUAUAAUGUGAAAGUCGCCAAAUGGCAUAAUUAACAAGUCAACAGAAAAGAUUCUAUCCUAAAUCAUUAACGGGCAUCUUCAACAUAUUUGAUUCACUAAUAUAGUGUGCCCCAAAGAACUAGAUACCUCUACUGUUACUCUAGACAGUUCAGGUUUUAAUUUUCCAUUCUCAGCUAAUUUUGUGUUAACAUAAGAAUAUGACAAUCCCGGAUCUAUUAAAGCAUAAACGGGCUCUAAAUGCAAUAAAAAUACACCUGUCACCACAUCGUAUGCAUCUCCUUCUUCACGAGUUCUUACAACAUAUGCUCAGGCUAGGGUUUUAGCUUCCGAUUGUUGGGUGGCAACUUCACUUGUUCUUUUAGCACCUCCUCUACUAUCUGAGCCACCUCUGCCUGAUCCUCAACCUCUAGAAGCAGAUUCAGAUCUCUGUGAUACUGUUGGUGCUGCUUUAUUAAUCUUUGGACAGUCUUUUAUGAAAUGAUUGGUGGAUCCGCAACGGAAACAUCCUCCAGUUAAUUUCCAACACUCUCCUCGAUGUUUAUUCCCACAGUAUUGACCUUCCGAAAUUUUAGUAUUCUGAGAUGACCCUCUGAUGCUGCUAGUGGAAACUGUCUUCUGCCUACCACGAUUCCUGUCACUUCUAUUUGAUCUAGAACCAAAUCUCCAACUGCCUCGAAAUUCUUUUGAUCUCUUAAGUUAUGGAUUAGAACUUGUAAUUCCGGGACGCUUUCCAAGUGAACAAGAAGUUUCAGGCUUUUUAUUUAAUCCCAACACUUGUUCAACGAAAUCUCCAUACGUACGCUUCUCCUUGUAACAAAGAAACGGCACAUAAUAAACUUUCCUGUGGGGUGCAUUCAAGUUACUUCAAAAUUCUCUUUGUGGUUUCUAUCUAGUUUUCAGCUACAAACGGAUCAACUCCCCUUGAACCCAGAAAUUUGGUAGCACCAUACUUCUGCAACUCUUUAAUCGAGACUCUUCGGGUAGUAGGAAUAGGGGCAUAACAGGUAUAGUUCCUACUGCUCUUUGAAGGGCAUCGACGACCACUCUGAGUAUUUCUGAAUUAUCUCAUUAUCUAGUAUCACUCCUUUUAACAUUUGAUGGUUGAUUACCUACCGGGUUUAUACUUGGAAUUGCAGACUCCGAUUUAUUCAUAUCAUAUGAUUCAUCAUCUUCAUUAUACAUUUCUCGAUCAGUAUCUUCAAUAUUUUCACCAGACAUCUUUAAUUAUAAAACAGAAACAAUAAUUCAGUAUACAUAUAUAUCAGCAUCCAAUCCCGACUUAAAUUUAACUCAAUUAUGACAUGUACCUCUAGACUCAUUUCUGUACUCAAUUUAAUCCUAGAAUCGACUAAACCUAAAUAGCUUUGAUACCAUUAAAAUGUAACACCCCCUAACCUUAAACCGUCGCCGGAACAGGGUUACGAGACAUUAUCAAACUUAUCAGACAAUUUACAAAUAAUUCUUAAAUAAAUAACAAACAUAUUAUAAUAUAAUCAUAAAUUCAUAUAAAAAUUUUGCUAAUUGACUUCAUUUUUAAAAAAAAAACUCAAUAUAACCCCUUUAUAAAUAUUUAACCUUCCCUGCAAUUUCAAAUCGCAACCAAUCAAAACAAAUCAAUUCAUGAAUUUAUACAUCUCUAAUUAUAACAAACUAAUAAUAUAAAGUUCUAACAUUUUUAUGUUUAUAAAAAUCUAACAUAAGAUGUCUAAUUGAUUCAUUUAAAUUAUCAUUCAACAAAAUUGCCUAAAGCUAUUAUAUAGACUAUGUUUAAGACAUAUGUAAUUGUAUGGAACAACCAUUACCAUCAUUUAUCAUUAAUAUUUUAUGUAUCAAAAUAACAACAAAUUACAACCUAGGUACAUGCCAUUUUCAAAAGAGAAAAUACAUCACCAUGUAUUUGAGUUCGGAAUUGACUUGGAUGCUGAGUCGUUAGUCACUUUUGUACCUAACCUACGCACGGAAACAAACCGUACGCUGAGUAUGCACUCAGCGGUAUUUUUAUAAACCAAUACUUAAAUCAAUUAUUAGCUCAUAUCCAUUUUGACUAUAAAACCUUAUUUACAUAACAAUAGUUAAUUUCUUAACUCUUCCUCGAUAAAGUAUAUGAUUCUAAUCAUAUUUAAUCAAUAACAAUCAGUUAUUCAGUAUAGUAAUUUAGUCAUUCAGUAACUAUCAAAUAUUCAUUGCAAUAGUUUAGUUAUUCAAUAUUCAGUACAGUAGUUUACCCCUAUUAACAUAACUCGGACCUAGACGAAUACACGGAUCCAACCAACACAUCAGUACGGCACUUAGUGCCUCAUCGACUUAAAGUCGAAGUAACAGUAUGACACUUAUAGUGCCUCAUCGAAUCAAGGUCGAAGUAUCCCUGAACACUUCCAAUCCUAUGGCAUGCCAAUUAUAUCCGACUCAGUCCGAUACAGUUAAUAGGGUAUUCAACUCAUUUAUCAAUUCACAGUAAGUAAUCAUUUCAAUAUCAAUUUCACAAAAAUCACAAAUUCACAUACAUUCAAUUCAAAAUCAGAACACUAAUACUUACCUUAAUAUCUUUCCAUACACAUAUAAUAAUAAAAGCAACAAUUUAAAUGUUAAAUUCGGUUUAUAAAAAUACAAACCGUAAUUCUCGAAUUACUUUUAGUCAACCUUCUCCUUUCCUUUCUUUGUCUAGGUCUCCGGAAUUACGUUAGCUACGAAAAAUAAAAUAAUUAUACCAUUAAUUACAACACUCAUUAUAAUAAAUAAUUGAAUUUUUAUUCAAUUUAUACAUUAUUUUCAAUUAGGUCUUAACUAACUCAUUCACUUUACUAACUUAAUUCGUACUUCAUUCUUAUUCAAAUUCCUAUCAAAUUCAACUUAACUAUCAAGUGUUCAUAAUAAAACCCUAAUUUAAAACUUCUUUCAAUUUGAUCCCUCAAUCACCAAAACUUAUAGCCUAGUUUACAAUUUAAUCCUUUAAUCAAAUCUAACUUAAAAUUCAUUCAAUUAAACCCCUAAUUCAUUAUUUUGUUCAACAUGAACUAUAUUCAAAAACCUAAAAACUUCCAAAUCCUUAACUUAAUUUCAACAAAACUUUGUUCUAAAGCUUCUAAAACAUCAAAUUUAAAUAAAAAGGACUUAAUUGACUUACCAAUUAAAGUUUAAAGCUUCCAAACCCAGUUUUUCCUUUUUCUUUCUUUUCUUCUUUUUUUCCCCUGGUACUUACGAAUAACCUAUUCUGUUUUGGUUUCCUUUUUUGUUUUAUUUUAUGCUUUAUUUGUUUAAUAAUAAUAUAAUAUCUUAAUAAAUAUCUAUUUAAUAAUCAAUAUAUUUAUUACAAAUGUAAUAUUACUUAUAUUUACAUAUUUACCAUAUCAUCAUCAUACAAUUGUCAUGUUUUAAUUUAUUUAUCACAUAAAAAUCUUAUAAUAUAAUUAUUUAAUUAAUAAAUAUCUUUUAUUUAAUAAUAAAUAAUAAAUAUCUAUUUACUUAAAUAUUAAGUAAUUUAAAUUCAUAAAUUGCAAUUGUAUCCUUAUUUUUAUUACAAAUGUAUAUUUUAUUGCCAUACAUUAAAUAAUAAUUUAUACUAUUAUAUUCUAAUAUUAAUUAUAAUAAUUUAAAUCAUUAAAAAUUUUUAGAUUUUUCUCAUUGUUUUACGGUCUCAACUAUUACUUAAUGGCAUAUUUUCUAUUUUGGUCCUUUAUAUUUUCUUUUAAUCUAUAAUUCAUUUUACCCCUUAUUCAAUCUAGUCAUUCUUCCUAUUUUCUCUUAAUUAAGCUAAAUUCAGCUAAUUAAAACAUAAUUAAAUACACUACUAGACUCACAAAUAUUCUUAAUAAUUAUUUUCGAACUCAAUUUACUAAAACGGAGGCCCGAUAAUGUACUUUUCUGAUGCCCGUGAACUUUGGGUCAUUACAUUGCAAACCUUAUCUCCCACAAUAAAAGGACUCAUUCAAUGGCUCAGAGAACAAAUGAACACACCAUGUCUUCUUCCUUCCCAAAGAUCCAUCCCAAAAAACCUGUCAUCCUCUGUACCUUUCCACCUUCCCGUAGGUGAACCACCACGCUAUCCACCAUCUUCUAUCUCUUAUUAAUCAAACCGGUUAACAAUUACAUGUAAUAAAAAAUUUACUAAUAAGUGUUAGGUGACGUUAUAAGACAUAUUAUACUCUUAAAGUAGACGUAGGUUUGAACAUUGAAGACAAUAUUAUAGGAAGGGGCAAUCAUGAAUCUUGAGCAUGAGCCACAAAAUAGAUCCAAUAAUUAAAAAAAAUAGCUCUUUUAAAAUUACUAUAAGAAAUAAUUAUUUAAAUUGAUUUCUUUUGGAAAAUAUAGAAAUAAAACUAAGGUUUAAUUCAUAAAUUGAUACAUAAACUAUAUUAUUUUUCUCAAGUUGGUAUUUAAACUUUUUUUUAUCAUAAGUAACACAUAAACUAUUUUUUUUUCCAAAUUGGUACCCUAUUAGUCAACCGUCAAUGAAAACUGUUGGACCUAUUAGAAAGAUAAAAGACAACCAAUUAAAAACUACCGUAUUGCAUAAAAAGAAAAAUAAAUAUUAUUUUCUCUUUAUAUUGUACUAGGCCAAUUUCGGCCCAAUCUCAUUUACAAAUUAAAACUCCAUUUACAAAACACUAAACCCCUUAAAACCCAAACCCAUUCACACUUUUACAAACCCAAAUACUAUUAACCCAAUACCCUAAACUAACCUGCCCUAAUCCAAAAACCCCUAACCCAAUAAGCCCAUUAAACAAAACAAGCCCAAACCAAUACCAAAUCCCUAGCCCAAGACCACAAUUGGGAAACCCUAGUAGCUCCCCAAGCCUCCAGCCGCCGCACGCUAGGCCAACCAUGGGCCACCUUGCGCACUACCACCACCACACCCCGCGCAUGCCCUUCUCCUCCAUGCGUCUGACACCGCCUGUAAAACGAGACACAACAACAGCAGCAACAGAGCAGUAGCGAAUGGAAGAAACAAUAUUUUUUGUACUCUGCUUUGAAACAUUCGGCUAUAAAGCCUAAAGGGAAAAUUUGUAAAGGAAGGAAGGGGGGGCAUAUUUUUACGAACGAAUACACAAUAGGCAAUACAAAAACAGCAAUAUUGGAAGGUGAUUUCUCCGAUCGAAAUCUCUGGGCUUUCUCUUUGUGAUUAUUUUCUUUUUUUUUUAUUUCGAGAGUAAAUAAAAGAAAAGGGGAACACAAACAUAGACGCACACAGAAUAUACACGCACAGAAAUAUAAAAAAAAACAAUUAAGAAUUUGCAAGGGUAAUCUCAAGUUUUCUUUCGUUCUUUCUUUUUUUUUCCUUUUUGUUUGGUUUAGAUCGUCUUUUAGUAGGUAAAUCGACUCUAAUGAGAUCCCGAAUACUUUAAGAUACAAAAGUAGGGGAAAGGGGUCAAGUGGUGUUGAAUCUCUAUUUUAUGAACUUUCUUCGUUUUUUUUUAAAAAUGUAUGAGAUUUGAAGUUUUAUUUUUUCUCAAGUAAAAAAGAAAAUACUUACUAAUUUCCUCAAGGCAUGGUUGAAUACUUACGGCCACAGAACCAGGAAUUGUUUUGCGCGCUGCUAGACACCAAAUCCGAUGGAGAUUCAGCUGUUUGUAAAAGGAACCCUAGCAAAUUUAUUUUCAAGGCUGUUGGUUUUUGUUAAAAUGGAUGGGUAUUUGAAAGGAAAGGAAGGGAAAAAUGGUUUAAAAUGGUCUGAAAUACAAAACAGUGCUGCCCAUGACCAUAAGGGUCCGCGCGUGGGCCCGAAUAGAAAAAUGGAUCUGCGCCAUGUUGUGUGAAUGGGGAAAUUGCGCGCUGAAUCCUUUCCUUGCGCACAACCUUCAAUUUGCGCCCCAAUUUCCCCCCCAACCAAUAAACGACGCCGUUUCAAGGGUGGGUCGGGUCGACCCGACCCGCCCCAGCAAAGAUCCGCGUGUUUUUAAGAGCGGAAGGGCUAUUUGCGCAAUCAGCCCUUCCGCAUUUUUGGUGUUUUAAAUUAGGUUUAUGUUUGUUUCUGAAUUGACCCCAGAAUUUUGGUCAGUUUUUAAUUUAACCCCUGUAUAUGCGCAGCGUUUUGGAAAGUUUGAAAAUUUGCACUUUUAAUACCCCAUGGUUUUACCCGCAUUCAAAUAGGUCCUUUCCCCUUUAAUUUUUUUAAAUUCACCCCAAAGCUUUGUUUUUAGUUCAUUUUUGGUCCUUUUUGUUUCCCUAUUUAAUAUGAUUAUUGUUAUUUCCAAUAUUAUAGUAUUAUUAUUAUUAUUACUAUAUAUUAGUAUACAUUUUUCUUUUACAUGUGAAUAUUGUAUAUAUUUAUAUAUAAUAUUAUUUUUAAUUAUUGUAUUUUAAUAUUAUUAUUAUAUUAUAUAUACUUCUUCGUAUUUUAUUAUUAUUAUUAUUAGUAUUAUUAUCUUUAUUCAUAUUAGCAUACAUAUGUUAUUAUAUAUAUACACAUUUCAUAUAGUAUUAUCUUUUUUUUACUAUUAUAUUUAUUAUUAUAUUCAUUGUUAAUACAUCUAUUUUUUAUACAUGUAUAUAUACCCUUUUUGUAAUAUUAUUUUUUACACCUAUAUGUAUAUAUUUUAUUUUAUUGUUGCUAGUUAUGUACUUUUUUACUAUCUUAUACGUACUUGAAACACUAUACGUAUAGUAUAUUUCUAACACUACUACUAUUUAUAUAAAUAUUUUACGUAUAUACUCUUAAUUAUCUUCAUAUGUGUAUUCAUUGUAUUCUUAUUACGUUCUCGUAUUCAAUGCUAACAUUGCAUUUGAUCUUGCAUGCACGGUUAUUAUUUUCUAAUAUUAUUAUCACCUCGAUUAUUUGUUUCAACAUAUUCCUAGCUCUUUCAUUUAUUGAUUUUUAUUUCAUAUUAUUUUACUUUGCAUUAUUUCGAAAAUCGUAUUCUUGUUUUGCUAAUUAAUUUCAAUAAUCAAGGCAAUAUAUCGAUUUAACAUUAAGUCAUCAAGUUCAUCGCUAUGUUGGGUGAACGUCAAUUGACUCGUGUUAAAGCGAUAUACCCUUCUAAAAGAAAAACAGAAUAAACUAAGUUUCUUGUUUUUUAAUGGGAUCACGACUAAAUUUUACAUUGAACCGUAUUUUUGAAAAUUAAGACAACAUGUGUUUAUGAGAUACCAAUUUUUGGGCGUCGCGAGGGUGCUAAUACCUUCCUUGCGCGUAACCGACUCCCGAACCCUAAUUUUCCUCUGGCUUUUAACGUAGACCUAAAUUCAGCCUUCCUUUUGUUUUUUUUAAAAAAGAAGUCUAACAGGUGUCCGGUCACACCUAAUAAAAAGGAUCGGUGGCGACUCCCUCUUUAUUUUAAAAUCGAAUUUCAGUUUCCAAACUUUUUCACUAGAUCGCCACAAUUAGCGACCCCGGAACCAAUUUUUAUGUCGCUACAGCUGGCGACUCCACUGGGGACUUUUGAGAGUUGAGUCUGAUGUUAAACGCGUAUUGUCAAAUUUUUAAAAUCCUUUGUUCAAAUUAAUUUUUAAUCGUGAUCCUUGAAUUUUUUUUUGAAAAGUCAUGCAUUUGCAUUUGGUUUUUUUUAAUUAAUAGUUUUCUAACUUGUUUUGUCUUUCUGUUUUUUUAGCUUUAAGUUUUACAUUUUUUUAGUUGUUUUAGUAAAAAUAAAAUUUAAAAAGGUUUGUGAGUUUCUCCCCACACACCGUGCACUUGCAUUCUUGCAUAACAUGAGCUCUCUACCCGGGCUCCAUCCGUUUAAGUGGAAGUAAACGCUACGCCUUCGUGAGUUAACUCGUCCCUCCGCAUAGGCUAGUGAAAUACUUUCGGGUUACAUAUGACUUAUGUUUUCGUGAGUUAACUCGUCCUUCCGCAUAGGCAUAAGUAAAUGUAAUCCCUCGAAUUGAUCUCGUAAGCCUAUGAUGGGCCAUGACCGAGGUUCUGUACUAAUCUUGGUAGAUGACAGUGCAGACGAUUCGAGUACCCAUCUAGAACCAAAACCGCAUAUAGUGAAUCAUACGAGCCAUCCAAUUAGAGCCAUGCCGAACCUCUGUCCGCUUAUAGUCAUCAAAAUAAGUACACGGGGAAAAUACCUUUUGCCAUCCAGUUACACUGUUUGUGCAAAAUAAUUGGAUUGGGUAGUUUAAUUUGUUUUUCAAAUUAUAUUUGUUGUGUUUACUAACCAAGUUUGUUUGUUUUCACUUUUAUUUUCAUCAUGCAUCAUAGGCAUCAUAUUAAGAAGGUGUUGACUAAAGGUUGGUUGCCAAAAAACGGGUUUCUGAUGGAGGAGUCAAUUACACAAAUAACCGAGAAGAGUGCCGUGGUUCGGGACUGGUCUCUAAAAAUUCAGAAAGAAAAGGGGGAUAGUCUAGUGGAAGGGUGUGUCGCCAAUUUACCCGAACAUAUAACUGUAAAUGUUCGCCAAAAUAACCUUGAGGAUUUGGUACGAAUUUGGAAUCAGUGGGAUUCAGACACUAGAGACAUUUUCACUGAGAGGUAUGGAGAUAUAGCUCACCUGAUCACCAUCCGUGUAGACGAACAGUUGAUUCAAGCCAUGGUUCGGUUCUGGGACCUAGCUUAUCAGUGUUUCACCUUCAAUCAAGAAGACAUGACUCCAACCAUAGAAGAGUAUGCUGCUUUACUCCGCAUCGACAAUGUACAAUUUGGCAAAAUAUAUGUGAAAGAACCUAAGCCGAUGACCUUCAAGAAAAAGUUAGUGAGACUAACAGACAUGACUGAUGCAUGGGCCGAAAAAAAGAUAAAGAAGAAGAAUGAAACCAUUUGCAUUCCAUGGUCCUCCCUACGAGAUUUGGCUCUGAACCAUCCCAACAUGCUGAAAAGGGUAAAUCUAUUCGCUUUGGCCAUUUACGGUUUGGUCAUUUUCCCAAAAGUUCUCGGACAUCUCGAAGUUGCAGUAGUUGAUUUCUUCGAAAGGUUAAAACAAGGAAUCAACCCUGUCCCGACCAUCCUAGCCGAGACCUUCAGGUCCCUGAGUAGUUGUCAAAGAAAAGGGGAGGGACGAUUUAUCGGAUGCGCGCAGUUGCUCAAUGUUUGGAUUUUGAGUCACUUCUGGAAGGUAGAGCGCACUCCGUUCCAAAUGUUUUCUAAAACAUUCUCCCCGCUAGAAGCUUACCUCAAGAAAGAAUGGCCGAAGGAAGUCACCAAGCAACAUUGGGUAUCAGUUUUUUAGAAUCUUCGCGCCGAGAAUAUAACAUGGAGAGCACCCUAGAUCCGUCCUUCAGUUCUGCUAUACAAAUGUGGAAGCCAAGAUUGGGUACCUUUACUCGGGUUAUGGGGAGGAGUUGGAUAUACCCCGCUAUUAGUCCAAAGGCAGUUUUCUUCGCGACAAUUCCUCCCUGCAACUGGAGGAUUAGCACAGUUCGAGUUCACUUUCGCGGGUGAAGGAUAUAUGAAGAGAGUCCGAGUCACUGCAAAGUAUUGGAAGGAAAUUCAUUUCAUGGAAUUAGCUUUGUAUGCUGAUACCCUUACCCAAGAUUACGACAUAUGGAGGAAGCAACGGGUAAAUAGUCAGCAAAUCUCAUCAACAAACUACACCAUCCAGAAUCAUUUCUCGGAGGAAACGCCGUCUGAGCUAGAAAUGGCAAGACAAGAAUUCGAACGAGAAAAGGCCAAGAUGUCUCGGGACCUUAGUGCCCUUCAAGAAGAAAACUAUCAACUGAAGAUUGAAGUUCAGGUUGAAAGGUCCAGGACUGAAAAAGUACAAAGAGAAGCCGAGAUUGUGAGAAACGACUUAAGGGACCUUCAUUUGGAAAAUAAGAAAUUAAGAAACACUAUAAAGAAUAGCGGGUUGGGCAAGUCGACAGCAGAAUGGAAGGAAGAAAUUAGCAAUAUCAAGGGAGGAAUGGAGUUUUGGAAGGGAAAAGCAAAGAAAGAGGAGGAAAAGGCUGCGCGCGCUGUGAUAGAGUUAAGAAGGAAGAACGCCGAGUAUGAAAUAGUGGCUGCAAAAUUGGCGAAUAGUCAGUCUGAACAUCAAGAAUUAAAAAGGAAAACACGAGAUCUAAAAAAUAUGCUGCAAUCUCGUCAACAACAAUUAGAUAACCUCUUGAAGGCUCUAGAAGAAAAGAGUGAGCAGUACGAUAAGGACAUUCACGCGUAUGAAGGAACCCUCAAAGAAAAAGAAAUGCAACUUGACUUCUUGAUCAAUGAAAUUCGUAAAGCGGCUAUGCAAGUUGUUCAAUUAUCAGAUGAAGCCGAAGUUCUCAGUUGCCAAUUCCCCCCGAGCCAAAGAUCGAGCAUAACAGAGUUUUUAGAGCAAGUGAAGAAACAAGGCAAUGUGGCUAGGAAAUUUGUGUAACUGUUGGAAAAAUGAGAACUUUGUGUAAUAGACUAUGUUGAUAAAUGAAAUGCCUAAAUAUGGGGCUAUCUUGAAAUCAACUCCAAUUUCUUGCAUUUCAUUCAUAACUGACACUCAUUUGACAUUCAUGCAUUCAUUCAUGCACCAGUUCAUUCAUUGCAUAUCCCAUACUCAUUCGCUGAGGUUAAAACGUACAAUUCGCAGUUGCCAGACAUCAAGACUGGAACCACGUCAUCCGUAUAAAAUGCGCCGACAAGCUAGAGUAAUGGAAGCUGAAUUCAAUGAGAGAAUUGAAAGGAUGGAAAAAGCUCAAACGGAAUUACAAGAGCAACUGGCCAAAUCGCAACAAGAGACGAGAGACCUAAUGGUGAUAUCUCGAGAGGAAUCACUCGAGCAAAGAGAUCAGAUGGCUAAAAUGAUGGAGAUGAUGACAACUUUGGUCAACGGAAAAUGGCCCAUGCAGAACCCUGAUGUUAUGGAACCUCAGUCAAGAAUUCACCAUGUUCAGGAUCCACUCUAUCCCUCGGGAUUCACUCCACCGCCCGCAUGUACAAUACAAAGAGGGUAUACUCAAGAGGAACCCACUGGCUUGGAGCAUCGACCCAUGCCACCUGCUCCACCCACUAAUUUGGGGCAAGGAAUGUUAGCGUCGAACCCAGGGGCUAGUUCUGCUAAUCCACUAGUUCCAGAUCUAGAUGACCCAGCAGAGGUAGCCAAGUUGAAAUUGGAUAACCAUGACGCAAAAUAUAGGAGUCUAGAGGAAAGACUCAAAGUAAUAGAAGGCACUGAAGUCUUCUCCGCACUAGGUGCCAAGGAACUCAGUUUGGUACCUGAUCUAAUUUUGCCCCCGAAGUUCAAAGUGCCUGAUUUUGAGAAGUAUGAUGGAACAAGGUGCCCAAAAGCACAUCUCAUUAUGUUCUGUCGAAAAAUGACCGGUUAUGUGAACGAGGAUAAACUACUCAUACAUUGCUUUCAAGAUAGUCUAACAGGGUCAGCUCUUCGGUGGUAUAAUCAACUUAGUAGAGAAAAGAUUCGAUCCUGGAAGGACUUGGCGUUAGCAUUUUGCGAACAGUACAAGCAUGUAUCGGAUAUGGUGCCAGACCGUAUGACCUUGCAAAUGAUGGAGAAAAAGCCAUCAGAGACCUUUAGACAGUAUGCGCAGAGAUGGAGAGACGUCUCAACUCAAGUGGAACCCCUACUAACAAAAACGGAGAUAACCGUUCUUUUUAUCAAUACUUUAAAGGCACCGUUUUAUGACAAACUAGUGGGAAGUGCCACGAAAGAUUUCGCGGAUAUUGUAAUAUCCGGUGAACUCAUAGAGAAUGCCGUCAAGAGCGGUAGAAUGGAAGGAUCAGAAGGCUCAAGAAAAGCAGCACCCUUAAGGAAGAAAGAGCCAGAAGCCCACAUGGUGGGAACUGGGAGUCGUUACAUUCCCAAUUCGUAUCCUAGCCAACCCCGACCUCGAAAUUAUCCAUCCCCGAAUUCCUAUUAUCCCCCUCAAACCCCUUACUACCAAGCACCACAUCCGUCCUGCCCCGUAUACGCCACGAAUAACCAAAGACCCGUCACUACUUUCCCACAAAACACGGUACCCGCCCAAAGCUAAUCAAGGCAUAAUCCCGAGAGACCGCAAUUUACCUCCAUCCCUGUGUCGUAUGGGGAAUUGUACCCAAAAAUUUUAGAAAAACAGCUAAUUUCUCCCCAUUACAUGGCACCCCUUAAACCUCCAUACCCAAAGUGGUACGAUCCAAACGCUAGUUGUGCAUACCACGCAGGGAACCAAGGGCACUCUACUGAGAACUGUCUCGCUUUCAAAAGGAGAGUUCAAGGACUCAUUGACGCGAGUAUCCUACGAUUCGAUAGUGCUAGUAACGCCACGGGGAACCCGUUCCCUAACCAUACCGAAGGGAAUGUGAGCACAGUGGGGAAAGAGGAUGAAUGGAAGGUCAGAAGAUGUGUGGCAGAAAUAAGGACGCCUCUGCAGAAAAUCUGGGAGAUAUUGGUUAAGAAAGGAUUGCUCUGUCACUCUGAUAGAGUUUUUGGAGAAGAAGGUCAAAGUUUUUGCAAUUUUCAUGGGAUUGUUGGGCACAACAUUCAGUCAUGCGAGGACUUUAAAAAGUUACUUCAAGACCGGAUGGAUAAUAAGGAGAUCAAGGUCCUUAACAAGAGUGAAGAUGCCAACGAAAGAGAAGUAUGCGUCUCUGAUAGCCAAUCAUCAGGGCCCCCUUAUAGUGCUGAUCGACCGUUGGUAAUUUAUUACGACGCGAUGAGAGAGCCAUUGAAACCACAGAUGGUAAUUGAAGUACCAUCUCCUUUCCCGUAUAAGGACAACAAAAUAGUACCGUGGAAAUAUGAUGUUAAUAUCGUUACACCGGAAGUUGAAAAGUCCAAAGCCAUAACUGAAGAUGUUGGGGAGGUAGGUCAUUUUACUUGAAGUGGACGAUGCUAUUCUAAAGAAGUUGAAUCGGUAAAGAAAAGUAGCGACUCGAAGCAAAAAGGGAAAGCAGUGAUGUACGAGGUCGAAGUCGAGCAAGAAAUUCCACCCGUGCAAGAAACUAAAAAGCCUGUGAAUGAGGAAGAAGCUCAAGAAUUCUUGAAAUUUAUUAAGCACAGCGAAUAUAGUGUGGUGGAACAAUUGAGCAAGCAGCCAGCACGAAUCUCAGUUCUAUCUCUACUAUUAAAUUUAGAGCCACACCGGAAUGCUAUAUUGAAGGUGUUAAAUCAAGCUUACGUGGCCAACAACACAUCUGUCGAAAAGCUUGAUAGGUGGGUAAACAAUCUGAAUGCGGACAACUUCAUCUCUUUUAGUGAUGAUGAGAUACCGCCAAAUGGUAGAGGCUCGGUGAAAGCGCUGCAUAUCACGACCCGCUGCAAGGGCUACAUAAUACCGAACGUACUCAUCGAUAAUGGGUCAGCGAUAAAUGUUAUGCCAUUGGCUACACUUUCCAGAAUACCGAUGGAUUUGUCCUACUUAAAGCCGUGUCAUUCCAUGGUAAGGGCAUUCGACGGGACGAAGUGCGAAGUCAUGGGAAAGAUCGAAAUCCCUUUGGAAGUGGGCCCCUACAUCUAUGAGGUCGAAUUCCAAGUCAUGGACAUUACACCCUCUUAUAACUGCCUUUUGGGAAGACCUUGGAUUCAUUCUGCUGGAGCAGUCCCAUCAUCCCUCCAUCAAAAGGUGAAAUUCAUCAUGGAUGGCUGUUUGGUCACAGUCGAGGGCGAAGAAGACAUCGUCGCAUCUAUCUCUGCUGAUGCGCCAUACCUGGAAGUAAGCAAGAACGCAGUGGAAUGUUCCUUUCGAUCCCUUGAAUUCAUCAAUGCCACUUUCGUCGCUGAGGGAAAUAGAAUUCCGAUGCCAAAACUGUCGAGAAAUACCAGAAUGGGUGUCAAGUUGACCGUAGGAAGGGGAGCUCGUGCGAGAAGAGGUUUAGGGAGACAUCUAUAAGGAAUAGUGAGGGCUUUAAAGCCAGUGCACCACAAGGCCCGAUACGGUUUGGGGUUCCAGCCUGACAUGCACCAAAGAAGAAGACAGUGGAAGAAGGAUCAAGAGAGAAGAAUUGCAAGAACUUUAGGCCGAGAACCAGAAUGGGAACCAAUAGAGUACCCUCCUUUGUCAAAAACAUUUAUAUCUGCGGGAAUGAUGUACCCUGGACAAGAUGAUCCACGAAACAUGCUGGGAUUAAUUGAAAGGGAUUUUCAGAAUGUCAGUAUAAAUGUCAUUGACAAAGAAGCUGGUGCAAGUAAAGAUGUCUCGAGGAUACGCCCUUGCCCUCCUGGUUUCAUGUUGAACAAUUGGAUUGCUGAGGAGCUUCUUGUAGUUUAUAAGCCUUCAGAGUAAUGCUAAACAUCAACCUUCUAUUGUGUCCUUAGAUAUAAUAGAAUUCUUUUGUAAGAGUUUGCAUUUGCUCUUUAUCAUUUAAAUGAAUAUCAAUGAAGAUGCAUUUUGUCACGAUUUUUCGCAUUAUCACUAAUUUCAUAAUCAUUUUCUCAUUUCAUAGCCUAUCCUUACAUUUGCCUCCUUGCCAUGACAUAACAUUUGUUUAUUGUUUCCAACACUUGGAUGUCCCCCUAUAGCUUCCUUUUCCAUUCAACUUUCAGGUGCUCAGAUAUUGACGACAUGAAUAAGCCCGUUACGAAUCUUGAAAUUGAUUUUGAGAAGGCUGUUUGCUUAGGAGAAUUUGAAGCCGAAGAAAAUGGUGAAGAUUAUGUCUCGUCUCCUGAAUUGUUAAGAAUGGUGGAACAAGAGGAUAAACAGGUUUUGCCUCAUGAAGAAUCUGUGGAAACAACAAAUUUGGGCACUGAAGAGAGGAAACAAGAAGUGAAGAUUGGGACUUCUAUUUCAGAAAGUACCAGGCAUAGUUUGAUCACUUUACUCCGUGAAUACAAAGAUGGUUUCGCGUGGUCAUACCAGGACAUGCCAGGCUAGAUGAAGAUUUAGUGGUCCAUAAGCUCCCAUUGAAGCCAGAAUGCAAGCCCAUCCAGCAAAAAUUAAGACGGAUGAGACCCGAAAUGCUGUUGAAAAUAAAAGAGGAAGUCAAGAAGCAAUUUGACGCUGGCUUCCUACAAGCCUCCAAAUAUCCAGAAUGGGUGGCUAACAUAGUCCCGGUACCAAAGAAAGAUGGAAAAGUACGAAUGUGCGUGGAUUACCGUGACCUGAAUCGAGCAAGCCCAAAAGAUAAUUUUCCCUUGCCACAUAUUGACACGUUGGUGGACAACACAGCAAAACAUUCAUUGUUUUCUUUCAUGGAUGGAUUCUCGGGGUAUAAUCAGAUCAAGAUGGCCCUUGAGGAUAUGGAGAAAACUACCUUCAUAACAAUGUGGGGAACGUUCUGCUACAAGGUGAUGCCAUUCGGGUUAAAGAAUGCUGGGGCAACAUAUCAGAGGGCUAUGGUGACAUUAUUCCAUGACAUGAUGCAUAAGGAAAUAGAGGUCUACGUCGAUGAUAUGAUUGCUAAAUCUCAAGGAGAAGAAGAACAUGUAAUGAACCUCAAGAAGUUGUUCGAAAGGAUGAGAAAGUUUCAGCUAAAGCUUAAUCCAGCCAAAUGUACAUUCGGGGCUACCUCGGGAAAAUUGCUAGGCUUCAUUGUCAGUGAAAGAGGUAUCGAAGUUGAUCCAAAUAAAAUAAAAGCCAUCCAAGAAUUACCACCUCCGCGCACGCAAAAGGAAGUUAGAGGAUUUUUAGGGAGAUUAAAUUACAUCGCCCGAUUUAUCGCUCAACUUACCAACUAAUGCGACCCAAUUUUUCGACUCCUUCGAAAACAUAACGCGGGAGAAUGGAACGAGGAGUGCCAAGUGGCCUUCGAUAAGAUAAAACGGUAUCUGUCUAAUUCUCCUGUGCUAGUAACACCGACCCCUGGAAAACCCCUAAUUUUGUACCUGACCGUGUUUGAAAACUCAAUGGGUUGCGUACUGGGGCAACAUGAUGAGUCAGGGAGAAAAGAAAAGGCGAUCUACUACCUCAGCAAAAAGUUCACUGAAUAUGAGGCAAAAUAUUCGUCCAUUGAGAAAUAUUGUUGCGCUCUGGUUUGGGUAGCUCAGAGACUCAGACAAUAUAUGUUGUAUCACACGACAUGGCUAAUUUCAAAGCUGGACCCAAUAAAAUACAUGAUGGAAUCACCGGCACUAUCAGGAAGAAUGGCACGAUGGCAGAUCCUCCUUUCAGAAUAUGACAUUGCCUAUGUAAGUCAGAAGUCAAUAAAAGGGAGCGCAAUAGCUGACUUUUUAGCAACUCGAACGACAGAGGAAUAUGAGCCUUUAAGAUUCGAUUUCCCAGACGAAGACUUAAUGUGCAUCACAGAAAUAGAAUCCGAGUCAUCAAAAGAGAAGUCAUGGAAGAUGUGCUUUGAUGGUGCGUCAAAUGCUUUAGGGCAUGGAAUUGGAGCAAUCCUGGUAUCACCAGACGGGAAUCAUUAUCCGUUCACUGCAAGACUGAACUUCUUCUGUACCAAUAAUAUCACAGAAUAUGAGGCCUGUAUCAUGGGACUUCGUGCAGCUAUCGAACGAAACAUCGAGAUCUUGGAGGUGUACGGGGACUCAGCCCUAGUGAUUUACCAAAUCCGUGGAGAAUGGGAAGUGAGGGACUCAAAAUUGAUUAAGUACAGCGUUUUAGUGGCUGGAUUGAUCAAGGAAUUCAAAGAAAUAACUUUUCAUUACUUCCCACGAGAAGAGAACCAACUGGCUGAUGCCCUAGCCACUUUGGCUUCAAUGUUCAAAGCAAGUAGAGAAGCAGAAAUAAUGCCCCUCAAAAUGAGCAUAUACGAGGUCCCUGCACACUGUUGUAGCAUUGAGAAAGAAGUAGACGGACGGCCUUGGUUCCAUGAUAUCUUAGAAUAUAUCAAGAAUCAAAGGUAUCCCAAACAAGCGAAUGAGAACGAUAAAAGAACAAUUAUAAGAAUGGCAGCGGGAUUUGUUCUUGAUGGGGAUAUCCUGUAUAAAAGAGGAAAGGAUCAGAUGCUUUUGAGAUGUGUGGAUGAUGUUGAAACCAGAAAAAUACUUGAAGAGGUCCAUGAGGGAAUUUGCGGAACGCAUGCCAAUGGUUUCAAUAUGGCCAGAAAGAUCAUGAGACUCGGUUAUUAUUGGCUGACAAUGGAAAGUGACUGCAUCAAUUUUGCCAGAAAAUGCCACAAAUGUCAAAUCUACGGCGAUAAAAUUCAUGUAGCCCCUUCACCCCUUCAUGUCAUGACUUCUCCGUGGCCUUUUUCUAUGUGGGGCAUGGAUGUCAUAGGGCCAAUUUCUCCAAAAGCUUCAAAUGGACAUCGAUUCAUUUUUGUGGUUAUUGAUUACUUCACAAAAUGGAUUGAAGCCGCUUCGUUUGCCAAUGUGACGAAGACUGCAGUGUGCAAGUUUUUGAAAAAAGAAAUCAUUUGCCGAUAUGGUUUCCCUGAAAGAAUCAUCUCAGAUAAUGCCAUGAAUCUGAAUAAUAAGAUGAUGAAAGAAGUGUGCGAGUAGUUCCAAAUAAAGCAUCAUAAUUCCUCGCCCUAUCGCCCAAAGAUGAACGGGGCUGUUGAAGCAGCUAACAAGAACAUUAAGAGGAUCAUUGAGAAAAUGACUGAGACAUAUAAAGAUUUGCACGAGAAACUUCCAUUUGCUUUGUUUGCAUAUCGUACAUCUGUGCGAACAUCUACGGGAGCAACUCAUUUCUCUCUAGUCUAUGGAAUGGAAGCUGUGCUACCUAUCGAGGUUGAGAUCCCCUCUCUGCGAGUAUUGAUGGAAUCAAAGUUAGAAGAACCAGAAUGGGUUCGAGCUCGAUAUGAUCAGUUGAACCUCAUUGAAGAAAAACGUCUAAGGGUAAUUUGUCAUGGGCAAAUGUACCAAAAGAGAAUGAUCGCAGCCCAUGACAAGAAGGUACGACCAAGAGAGUUCCAUGAAGGAGAACUCGUUCUGAGAAAGAUUCUCCCAAUACAAAAAGACCUGCGAGGAAAAUGGGCACCAAAUUGGGAAGGACCAUACGUUGUAAAAAAGGCAUUCUCGGGAGGAGCUUUAAUCCUUACCGAGAUGGACGGGAAGGAGUUACCGAAUCCGGUGAAUUCAGAUGCGGUGAAGAAAUAUUAUGCUUAAGAUGAAAACCCGAAAAUGGCAUCUAAAAAAAAAGGGCGAAAACCCGAAAAGGGCGUCUUGAUUAGUACAAAAAGAUUAGGAUGAAAACCCGAGAGGGCGUCCUAAUGAAACAAACCUGGCGGUCGAUCGAUAGGUCGAGUAGUGAGACUACAGUAUUUGAAGCACUUCUGAAAGCUCGAAAUUUUCUACGCAAGAAGCCAUGCUCGAAAAGAUUAUUGAUUGAGGAACGUGGAAGAGUUCAUGUGUUGAAUAUCUAGAGCAUUUGUAUCCGUUGAAUACGACCUUUUCUUUCUUUUUGACAUUUUUACUCUCAUUGGUUAACUUUCUUUGUUUGCCGCAUUUGAAAUAAAGGAAUAUGAGAUAUCCUUUUUGUCCCUACCUGACCAUUUUCAUGCAUCUCAUUAUGUGUUUAUUUAAUGAUAAAUAGUGAAAUGACAUACUCUAAACAAAAGAAAUAUCAAGCAUUACCCGGAUAAGAAUUUGAUAAGUGCAAGAUCUUCAAAGCAAGAACAAAGUUUAACCAAGGGCAAAAGGGUGAUAUCUGAGAAACGUCGAUUACUCGUAAAGCUCGAAGACAGGUAUGAGGCCUGAAGAGAAGGUCGAGAAUCAAAGCAAUGAACACAGAUCCUCAACAAUCAUGGCGAAAAGGACAUACGGCCUAUAUGCUUAAGGAGCACUGCAUAAUCAUGUAGGCAUAAAGGCAUUUAAGACAAACAUGUGCAUAUCAUGAUGACAUCAUGCAUGGCAUAUACAGGUAAUCCAGAAAAGCAAGAAAUCUUGAAUGAGAGUCGCACUGAAUCAAAGGAAAAGAUACCCGAGUUCUACCAAAGGACUGGUUUUGGUAUUUUGAUGUUUUUAAUUCAUGCUUUCCAAGGAAAAUUGACUCAUAUUGCGAGAGGUGAGUCAAGCCUCAGGUCACGCUGAGGUAUUUUAAUUCCUUUUGUUUCAAAAAUCAACUCAUAUUGCUAGAGGUGAGUUGAGCCUCGGGGCACGCCGAGGUACUUUUAGUUUAUGUUUUAAAUUGACUCAUAUUGCGAGAAGUGAGUUAAGCCUUUUAAUUCCUGUUUUUCAAAAAAUCAACUCAUAUUGCGAGAGGUGAGUUGAACCUUUUAAUUUUUGUUUUUCAAAAAUCAACUCAUAAUACAGAGGUGAGUUGAGCCUCGGGCCACAUGCCGAGGUAUUUUCAAAAUCUGUUUGGCAAAUUCUGUGUUCAAAAAUCAACUCAUAUUGCGAGAGGUGGGUUGAACCUUUUAAUUUCUACUUUUUCGAAAUCAACUUAUAUUGCGAGAGGUGAGUUGAGCCUCAGAACACGCUGAGGUAAUUUCAAUUUCUGUUGUCAAAAAAAAAAUCAACUCAUAUUGCGAAAAGUGAGUUGAGCCUUUGUCACAUGUGGAGAUAUUUUCAGUUUUUGUUUUUAAUGUCUGUUUUUAAAGAGUCAAUUCAUAUUGCGAGAAAUGAGUCGAACUCAGGAUCACAUGCCGAGUAAGAAUAAAGAUUGAAGCUGAUGAAAAACACCAGACUUGGUCUCCCUGAAGCUGCAGUGGAGCCGGUCAAAAGUUGCAAGUCUUGUCUCCCUGAGGUCGCAGUGGAACUGAUCGAGGAUAUCAAAUCUUGUCUCGCUAGAGUUACAGAAGAGAAGAUCACGAAUCUCAUCUCACUGAAGUGAUAAAAGAACAGAUUGAAGCUUAGAUCUUAUCUUUAUGAAGCUACGUGGAAGCAGAUCAAAGCCACAAAUCACAUAUCUUUGAAGUCACAUUGGAGUAGAUUUAAACUACAAGGCAUAUAUCAGAAGAUGCAGUGGAUUGGAAGAAGACCAUCUGAACAAGAAGAGCACCAAUGAAGUCAAGACUCGGCAGGAAAGGGCAAAAUUGGCCUUUCACUUAGUCUUUGCUCUAUUCCCGUUACACGACAAUGAGCAAAGAGGGGCAGCUGUACUAGGCCAAUUUCGGCCCAAUCUCAUUUACAAAUUAAAACUCAAUUUACAAAACACUAAACCCCUUAAAACCCAAACCCAUUCACACUUUUACAAACCCAAAUACUAUUAACCCAAUACCCUAAACUAACCUGCCCUAAUCCAAAAACCCCUAACCCAAUAAGCCCAUUAAACAAAAUAAGCCCAAACUAAUACCAAAUCCCUAGCCCAAGACCAGAAUCGGGAAACCCUAGCAGCUCCCCAAGCCUCCAGCCGCCGCAUGCUAGGCCAACCAUGGGCCACCUUGCGCACUACCACCACCACACCCCGCGCAUGCCCUUCUCCUCCAUGCGUCUGACACCGCCUGCAAAACGAGACACAACAACAGCAGCAACAGAACAGUAGCGAAUGGAAGAAACAAUAUUUUUUGUACUCUGCUUUGAAACAUUCGGCUAUAAAGCCUAAAGGGAAAAUUUGUAAAGGAAGGAAGGGGGGCAUAUUUUUACGAACGAAUACACAAUAGGCAAUACAAAAAAAGCAAUAUUGGAAGGUGAUUUCUCCGAUCGAAAUCUCUGGGCUUUCUCUUUGUGAUUAUUUUCUUUUUUUAUUUCGAGAGUAAAUAAAAGAAAAGGGGAACACGAACACAGACGCACAUAGAAUAUACACGCACAGAAAUAUAAAAAAAAACAAUUAAGACUUUGCAAGGGUAAUCUCAAGUUUUCUUUCGUUCUUUCUUUUUUUUUCUUUUUUGUUUGGUUUAGAUCGUCUUUUAGUAGGUAAAUCGACUCCAAUGAGAUCCUGAAUACUUUAAGAUACAAAAGUAGGGGAGAGGGGUCAAGUGGUGUUGAAUCUCUAUUUUAUGAACUUUCUUCGUUUUUUUAAAAAUGUAUGAGAUUUGAAGUUUUAUUUUUUCUCAAGUAAAAAAGAAAAUACUUACUAAUUUCCUCAAGGCAUGGUCGAAUACUUAC